GCUAACCCCGGGUGUGCAGUGGGUACGGGCAGGCUAGAGUGCAGUAGGGGAGACUGGAAUUCCUGGUGUAGCGGUGGAAUGCGCAGAUAUCAGGAGGAACACCGAUGGCGAGGGCAGGUCUCUGGGCUGUUACUGACGCUGAGGAGCGAAAGCAUGGGGAGCGAACAGGAUUAGAUACCCUGGUAGUCCAUGCCGUAAACGUUGGGCACUAGGUGUGGGGGACAUUCCACGUUUUCCGCGCCGUAGCUAACGCAUUAAGUGCCCCGCCUGGGGAGUACGGCCGCAAGGCUAAAACUCAAAGGAAUUGACGGGGGCCCGCACAAGCGGCGGAGCAUGCGGAUUAAUUCGAUGCAACGCGAAGAACCUUACCAAGGCUUGACAUAUACCGGAUCGUUCCAGAGAUGGUUCUUCCCCUUUGGGGUCGGUAUACAGGUGGUGCAUGGUUGUCGUCAGCUCGUGUCGUGAGAUGUUGGGUUAAGUCCCGCAACGAGCGCAACCCUCGUUCCAUGUUGCCAGCACGUGAUGGUGGGGACUCAUGGGAGACUGCCGGGGUCAACUCGGAGGAAGGUGGGGAUGACGUCAAAUCAUCAUGCCCCUUAUGUCUUGGGGCUUCACGCAUGCUACAAUGGCCGGUACAAAG
rnacentral:rRNA from 1 species